rnacentral:miRNA from 1 species
CAUACAAGGAUAAUUUCUUUUU